AUAAAUUAAAAGAAUACUAGAACACACCCGCGAAAUCGCAGGGAAAUAGAGCGUAUGUAAACUGUAAAAAAAUAUACUGACUGGAGAAUUUCAGGAGAGAUAUCAAAAGUCAAAGGUACUUAGGGACUGGGCACAUUUUUUGCCCUCCCCCUAUUUUUCAAAUACCGAUUUUUAUAUUUGUUGAUUAUAUGGGGAAUCACUGAAGCAUGAGAGGAACGCCCCCCCCUUUUUAGGUCAGUCAGUGCCCCCUCCCUUAUGAAAAGUUCUGGAUCCGCCACUGUAAACUUAUUGAUAGUAAAUAGCAAAUAUUAUUCAUUUUCGUUUUCCUCCCAAAAUAACCCAAACUGAAACACGUUAAGCAAGUAUGAUACAGGCUAGAACUCAAAAUGAUAGCAGAAAGCAAAUUUAUAUACUUUAUUCAUAGUCUUUGUAUGUUCAAGGUACAGAAAAGGAAUUUAUAGUAAAUUAUAACAAAUACAGUUAUUCAUAGUAAAUGUAUGUAAGUAUGUACAGAAAUAUAUCCGCAGUGACCGCCGUUGAUUAUAAACCAUAGGCGGAUCCCAUGGGGGGCCUGGAGGCCCUGCCCCCGUUUUCGUUGAAAAAAUUUGUUGAUUAUAUGGGGAAUCACUGAAGCAUGAGAGGAACGCCCCCCCUUUUUUAGGUCAGUCAGUGCCCCCCU
rnacentral:lncRNA from 1 species